UGCAUGCUUGUAAAAAACUCCAGACAACUUAGAGGCUCAGGACCCUUUCUAAAGCCCAAAGCCCCAGCACAAGACUCUACCCUGAGAGGCCCCACUUCAGCUAGAACCCCUGGCAGAUCUGUAACCCAUGCCUCAGGGCAAGCAAACCCCAGGCUCUACUGUCCCAUCCUUGUGAGGGGCUAAGAGCACCUGCAGAAACCUUCAACUCUCUGACCUG
rnacentral:lncRNA from 1 species